GUCCAGACAAAUGUAUGCUAUUGAAGCUCUACUAAAAGAGGGAAAUGCAUGAAGUGAGGUUGUAGCACAAGAUCUGUUAUUUCCAUUGCCUCUAAUGACGCUGAAACAGUUCUUGCAGUGCGAAAAAUUGGAAAUGAAUACAACAUGAGAAAAUAAUUUACUCGAUAAUGAAACGGUUACCAGGUUCGACGUCUGCCGAAUUAGAAGAAGCCAUCAAAGAAUGAUUCUAUCGCUCAGGUGACAGAAUAAGAAGCGUUACAAAACAAAAUAAACAGUAUUAAAAUAAACAUAUAAAAUAUAAUAAAAUAUUACUAUAUUAAAAUCAUUUUUUAAUAAAUAUAAAAAAUAUAAAAUAUGUAAAUGUAACAUGCUACAAUAAUACAAAUAAUAAAUAUCUAUAUAUUUUUUAGAGUAAUAA